rfam:Lentisphaerae bacterium GWF2_44_16 gwf2_scaffold_12926, whole genome shotgun sequence.
AAAGUCCCCAUCCGGUAAGGGCUACCCAUCCGGCGGAACUCCGAGUGUUGCCUUGACUGUCUGCGAGGAGGUAGAGAAGCGUACACAGGAGAACACACAGGCGCCCAGUAUUGAGCCUCGAAAUUUGGGAUAAGUCCGGAGCACCGACCCUUUCAUAAAAUGGGGAAGGCAACACAGCCCACAGCGAAAAUGGCGAGUUGUGGUGUUGGCGCGGGAGCGAAGACCA